rnacentral:lncRNA from 1 species
AGAUUGGUAAUAGUAGGAAAGAGGAGGUGAGAGUGAGGGAGGAGGUGGCGACUUAUAGUAGGAUAGAGGGGAUGGAGACUUUUUAGGAGUAGGAGAAGGAGAUGCAUAGUAAUAUGGAGGUGGAGGUGAAGGAGAUAGUGGAGAUGGAGACUGAUAGUGGUAUGGAGGGGAUAGAGAUUUCUUUGGAGGAGGGGGGGAAUCAUAGUAGUAUAGAGGUGGUGGUGAUGAAGAUGGUGGAGGCGGAGAGUUAUAAUAGUAAGGUGGUGGCGGAGAAUUGUAAUAGUAUGUAGGAUGUGUGGAUUUCUUUGGAGGAGGAGGUGAAUGGUAAUGGUAUGGAAGUAGUGGUGAAGGAGAUGGAUAUUUCUUCCGAGGAGGCGGUGAAGUAUAAUAGUAUGGAGGUGGUGGUGAGGGAGAUGGCGGAGGUGGGGACUUGUAGUAAUAUGGUGGAUAAUAUACCUUUUUAUGUGGAGGUGGUAAUUUAUACUCGUAUGAUGGAUACUUCACUUGUUUUGUAAGAGGUGGUGGUGAUUUGUAAUAGUAUGGCGGAUGAUAUAUCUUCUUUGGUAGAGGUGGUGAUUUAUAAUUAUAUAGUGGAUACUUUACAUGCUUUGGAGGAGAUGGCGGUGAUUUAUAAUAGUAUGGUGGAUAAUAUACCCUUUUUGAUGGAGGUGGUGAUUUAUGAUGGAUAUUUCACGUGCUUUAAAGGAAGUGGUGGUGAUUUAUAGUAAUAUGGUGGAUGCUUUACAUAUUUUGGUGGAGAAGGCGAUUUAUAAUAAUAUGGAGGAUGCUUUACAUAUUUUGGUGAAAGCAGAGAUUUAUGUUUAUAAGUCGGUGAAGGUUUGUAAUGCUUAGGGUUGCAAUGAAGAAGAAUAAAUAUGAGGCAUACAAUCGGCCACCGCAGUGGUAGCUACAAGGCAGAGAACAACAACAUGAAUCAUUGAAGACAAAUUUCCCGGCUGCCUCCAGGCUCCCAUUCUCAAUUACAAGUGAGGUUUUGUGCUGUGAAUGAUGAAGAAGAACACAAUCCCUUUAUAUAGUCAUCUCCUCAGUCACUGGUGAAACAGAUAUGUUUGUUUAGUGAUGACCACAGCCUGGAAUUACGCCAUUAAAAAUACAACUCGAAAUCUUACACUAACACAAUUUUCUAAUUUUUCUUUGUCUGUUUCCAACCUGUUAAUAAAUUGGUGGUCUCCCACUACGUAUCUUAUGCAUAUUCUAAGAAAAUGAGAAUUUCAAGCUUUGUAUUUCUUUUUGUGUAAAAUAUGGUAUUAUUUCGACCCAAUAUGCAAUCUUUUUUCCUUUUUCUUUUAAAUUAUGUCACAAAAUAUAAUAAAAAGUAAUAAAGGAGAAGUUGAGGAAUGAGUAACAGAUAUCUGAAGACAACAUAUAAAUAUAUAUAUAUAUAUGCAAAUUUGCAAGAACUGGUCCCUUUAAUACGGCAAUUAACUUAAUUAAUUAAUUAUGCAUUUGAUUCAGUCAUAGAAGUUGAAACAAGUUAAUCACAUCAUAUAAAUUAAAAUUUCUUAAUUAAACAUUAUGAGCCGCCUGAUCAACAUAUUUAUUUUGAUCUAAUUGUAUGAUUAUAGGGCUCUUGAUAGCAUGCUUUACUUAUUGAAUGACUUUCACUUUAGUUUCUAUAGUUCAAAAUUUUGUUUUGUUAUAUUAUUCUGAAUAUAUUUGAUUCAGCUGAUAAGUUAUAGUUGAUAUCCGAUAAUUUAUAAUUGAUAUAAAUAUUUUAUUAAAAUAUUUAAAUUAAUUAUUCUUUGUAAUUUAUAUUUAACAUAUAAUAUAUUUUAUAUUAAAAAUACAAGCCUAUAAUAAAAUCUGAAAUUGACACAUAACAUUGUUAAAAAUGAAAGUAAAAAAAAAAAAAACUACAAACUGAAAAAAAAAAAAAGUGAGUUUAAUAGAAGUAUAUACAACUACUGUUGUUUAUAUAUAAAAUGAUAUAAAAUGACUAAUAAAAAUUUAAUUUAUUUACUUGAAAAAAUAAAUGUCUAUUAUUUAUUUACUUAAUAAUUUAAAUAAUUGAACAAUUAAAUAUCAAAAUCAUGAGAAAUUGCAAAUUCAAUAGCUGAAUCAGACUUUAUCUUAAUAAAAUUUAUGCUGAUGAAUCAUGCAACUAAAUUAAAUUAAGAAAUUUAAAUUGAUAUGAAUUUCAAACACAAAAUUGUAUGAUUGAGAUUAUCAUGUUUUAUGCAUAAGGUUAGUUUUCCAGUAAUCUGGAAGUUCUAAAGCACCAAAUAAUAUAUCUUUGAUAAACAUCUCACAUGCAAGUUCAAACAUAAAACCUGGAGAAAUUCUAAUCACUUAUUUCUUCUAUGUUUACAAAAGUUUAUUUAACUGGGAGAAGAAAGAUUAAUGAUAUAGCAAAAAAGAGAAAGUAACAUUAACCAAGACAAAAUGAUAACACAGUUGCUACUUUGAUAAAUAGAAUACUCGUUCCAAUUCAAAUACACAGAAUAUGUAACUAAAAAUUGUAUUGAAUGUAGAACUGUGAGUUAAUUAUUUAACUUUAAUUGUGUUUUAAUUUAGUCAUUUUCAUAAAUAAAAGAUUGAUAUAUCGCAGAAAUGGCCGAUAUAGAGAAUAAUUAAGAGAGAAAUAUGUUGAUAUUUUCAUCGGAAAUAAAUUAUAACCAAAAUCGAAAUUAAAUGAUUUUAAUGAAAUAAAUUAAAGUAAAACUUAAUGCAAAGUUAAAUGAUUUUUUUCUAUUCUUUCUUCAAUUAAUACUUGUUUUCUUGAUUAUUUAUACUAAAUUUUCUAAUUUUGAUAAUUUCUUACAUUUUCUUUUACCUGAAAGAGCUUAUUAGUUAGACACUGAAGAACUUUCCUUGACCUUUUCCAACAUAGCUAGCAAUAUAAGCAAGUGUGAACUCCUCCAUGAAAUCUAGCUUUUAGCUCUUUCUAAUAUUAAUAAUCCAAGUCAAACAGUGGUAUUGCUUUACUAUUCAGAAUAUGUAUGCAGCCAAUCUCUUAGAAUAUGUCCUUUUGAACUUCCAAUGGUUAUGUACUAGAUCUAUUAACAUUUAGAAAGUGCAAUAUCUAUAACUACAAUAAGAUAUUUUCAGAUUUUUCCAAAUACUUUAUGUUCAUAAAAUCUAGUAGUACAAAAAUAACUCUGGUAAAAUUUCAAUUAAUAAACACUGCAUAAAGACAAAUGAUACAAUAAGCAUUAUUUCAUACAAAAAAGAAUUCACUAUGAAUCUUGGUAUAGAUUCUUAUUGUACACAAACUUCUUUUAUUACAAUUUAAAACUUAAAAGAACAAACAACAACAGCACAUUAAGCAGUAAUGAGUUAUUCUUGUUACGACAUUUCAAAUCGAUUCAACAAUGGACUUGGCUGGAAUUUGGAAGUAGCCAAAUAUUUAUUAGUAUGGAGGAGGAGGAGAGUAAGUCGGUGGUGGUGGAGAUUGGUAAUAGUAGGGAGGAGGAGGAGAGGGUGAUGGAGGUGGUGGUGAAUUAUAGUAGUAUGGAGGAGGUGGAGAUUUGACUGGAGGAGGAGGUGAUGCAUAGUAGUAUGGAGGUGGUGGUGAUGGAGAUGGUGGAGGUGGAGAACUAUAAUAGUAAGGUGGUGGUGGAGACUUUUUUGGAGGAGGAGGGGAAUAAUAGUGGUAUGGUGGAGGUGGAGACUUCUUUGGAGGAGGAGGGGAAUAAUAGUAGUAUGGAGGUGGUGGUGAAGGAGAUGGAGGUGGUGGUGGUGGGGAUUUGUAGUAGUAUGGCGGAUGAUAUUCCUUCUUUGGUGGAGGUGGUGAUUUAUAGUAGUAUGGAGGAUGAUAUUCUUUCUUUGGUGGAGGUGGUGAUUUAUAGUAGUAUGGAGGAUGAUAUUCCUUCUUUGGUGGAGGUGGUGAUUUGUAGUAGUAUGGAGGAUGAUAUUCCUUCUUUGGUGGAGGUGGUGAUUUGUAGUAGUAUGGAGGAUGAUAUUCCUUCUUUGGUGGAGGUGGUGAUUUAUACUUGUAUGGUGGAUACUUCACGUGCUUUGGAGGAGGUGGUGGUGAUUUAUAAUAAUACGGAGGAUGAUAUACCUUCUUCGGUGGAGGUGGUGAUUUAUACUUGUAUGGUGGAUACUUCACCUUCUUUGGAGGUGGUGGUGAUUUAUAGUAAUAUGGCGGAUGAUAUACUUUCUUUGGUGGAGGUGGUGAUUUAUAUUUAUACGGGGGAUGCUCAACAUGCUUUGGUGGAGGAGGAGACUUGUAAUAGUAUGGAGGAUGCUUUUCAUAUUUUGGAGGAGGCGGAGAUUUAGGUUUGUAAGCAGGAGAAGGUUCGUAAUGUUUAGGGUGAUACGGAGGCGGUGGAGAAGCAUAAAUAUAAGGCUUGUAAUCGGCCACCACACUGGUGGCUGCAAGGCAGAGAACUAUAGCAUGAAUAAUUGAAGACAAAUGUCCCGGAUUUCCCCGGGCUCCCAUUCUUAACUACAAGUGUUGUUUUGUGUUGUGAAUGGUGAAGCAGAACAAGAGUCCUUUAUAUAGUGAUCUUUCCAAUCCUGCUGACAUAAAAUAUAUUUGUUUAAUGAUGAUCACAGCCUGGAUUAGACCAUUAAAAAGAAAAACAAAACAAAACAAAAAAGAAAUCCCAAAUCAUACAUUAGCAAAGUUUUCUUGUAAUUCUGUCGGUUUGCAAGUUAUUGAUGGUUUCCCACUAUGUACCUUAGUUUUACUAAUAUGCAUAUGAUAAGAAAAGGCAAUUUUCAAAGCUUUGCAUGUUUGGUACGAUGUCCUUUUUAAUAUUCAGAGUAAACCAGGUUUGUAGGCAACAUGCUAAUUUUUUUUUUUUAAUUUUGUCUUAAAAGAUAAUGAAAACUAAUAAAGAUGUCGAGGAACGAGUAACAGAUAUUUGAAGUCAAACAUAUAUAUGUAAAUUUGCAAGAUGAACUGGUCCCUGUGAGAUGGCUAUACUUAAUUAGUUAUGCAUUUUGAUUCAGUCAUGGGAGUUGGAACAAGUAAUUGCAUCAUAAAAUUUAGAAUUAUGCAUAAGGUCUCAAUCAGUAAGUCGCCUGAACGACAGAUUCAUUUUUUGGUAAUGAUACGGAUGAUCACAAGCCCAUGAUGAGAUGAAUGAUAGGCUUGUGACCAGAAGAAUCGUAGAACUUGCUUGUUCAUGGUGCCUUGACUUUCUGUACUAACCUACUGAUUGUGGGAUUUUUAAUAAGAUUCUAGGUGGGUGGAUGAUGGAACUAAACCAAGUCAAGAAAAUGAAUUCACAGAAAUUUCAAACAGAAAAAUGCACCACAAGUUGACCUGAAAUUGUCAUGUUUUAUUCAAUUAAUUAGCUCUGAUAAUUAAGCAUAUCCCAUGUCAACACCUAGAGAAAAUGUCUCAAGUUUUAAGCUACAAUUGGUAUUCACUUAAACCAGCUUGUUGAAACUUUCUGGCAUUUCCUACUUUGUUUAUGAAAAUUACUCAACAGAGAGAACAAAGAUUAGUGAUAUAUGCUAAAAAGAAAAGCAACAUUAACCAAAGUAAAAUAACAACACCAAUUGCUAUGUUGAUCUAAAAUAGUCACUUGAAAUUAAAACACUCAAAAUAUGUAACUAAAAGAGUCUUGAUUGUAUAACUUUUGAGUUCUAGAUAGUGAACUUUUAUUAUAUGAUAGCAGACUCAUAUCUUCAAAUCCAAGAACUAAGAGCAGUACAAGGAAUCAAUUCUCUUUAUGGUAUCUAAAUAAUGCAAUUUUGGCACACUGGAUACUAAGUAUUGAUUUUCAAUAAAAAUUAGCAGAAAUCAUCAUACAAUUAAUUUAUGUGUCAUAAGUGAUUAAUGAUAGUCAUACAUCAAUCAAUGUAAAUAUGUCAUUCAAUAAAAAUUAACAGAUAUUAUCAUAUAAUUAAUUUAGGUGUCAUAACUGGUUAAUGAUAUUCAAUAAAAAUUAACAGAUAUUAUCAUAUAAUUAUUUUAUGUGUCAUAAUUAGUUAAUGAUAGCCAUAUAUCUACCGAUGUAAAUAUGUCAUUCAAUAAAGAUUAACAUAUAUUAUCAUACAAUUAAUUUAUGUGUGCAUAAUCUGGUAAAUAUAUCCUAUCUAUGUCGCCGAAUAAUUGAUUUUAAACUUAAAAAUUUACCUUUUUCUCAUUUAUAAUUUUUAAUCAAAUCGUGAUUAGGACCAAUAGUGGCAUCUAAUGCAGCUCUACAACCGCCAACUCAACAAAAAUUGACCACAUAAAAAAGAUAGUAUCCAAUUUGAUACAUUGUGCAUAUUUUAGGUACCUGCAAUUAAUUGUAUACAUGUUUUUUCUUCAAGUAAUACUUCUUUUCUUGAUUACUUGUAAUCAAUCUGCUUAAUUUAUUAUAUUUUUUUAACUGUGAUUAUUGUCUGAACUUGGAAUAGUUGCAAAGACUUUUCCUGGACAUUUUCCAACCUACUUAGGAAUCUUAUAUGUAAUAUAUAGAAGCUAGCAAUUUAAUAUAUAUAUAUAUAUAUAUAUAUAUAUAUAUAUAUAUAUAUAUAUAUAUAUAUAUAUAUAUAUAAAAGCAGGUGUCUAAUCCUCCUUCAAUUCUCCAAGUCAAAGAGUGGUUUAGCUGACCUCUUCAGAAUAUACAGUUAUUCCAAUCCUUAAGAAUGUAAAACUUUGAACAUACAAUCAUUAUAUAAUUGAUCUCUUAACAGUUAGAAAGGUCCCUCAAUAUCUAUAACUGCAAUGACAUAUUUUUAGAUUUUCCAAAUAGUUUCUGUUCGGAUAAAUGGAAGUAGAAAAAUAGUUCUUGUAAAAAAUUUAAUUGAUAAACAUUUCAUGAAGAGAAAUGGUACAAUAAACAUUGUUUCAUACAAAAAAAAAUCACUAUGGAUCUUGUUAUAUAGAUCCUUAUUGUACACAAAGAAUUCUUUAUUACAAUUAAAAACUUGAAAAUUGAACAACAUAAUAGGAUUAAGUAGUAAGUUAUACUUGUUCCAACGUUUCAAAUUGAUUCCCAUGAUGGACUUAGUAGUAAUUCGGAGCUAGUAGAGAUGUUUAGUAGUAUGGAGGAGGAGAGUAAGGUGGUGGUGGUGGAGAUUGGUAAUAGUAGGGAGGAGGAGGCGAGAGUGAUGGAGGUGGUGGUGAUUUAUAGUAGUAUGAAGGGAUUGGAGACUAUUUUUGGCAAAGGAGAUGAUACAUAGUAAUAGGGAGGUAGGGAUGAAGGAGAAGG